AAUCAACUACAUGGCAGUUCAGCAACAUAAACAUUAUGCCAUCUGCUGGUCCCAGCAAACGAGUUUUAACGUCAUCAAUAUGACACUUGUUAGAGCUGGCAUUGCAUGGGAAAAAUAUGAGCACUCAACUUGCCAUGUAUAACCUGAAAGACAAAUCCUUGCUAGUGGAGAAUAAAGUGAGCACAACAGAUCAGAGCAGAGCUUGGAAACAGAGAAGACUGGAGUCAAGACCUGAGCCUGAUUCAACUAUAUCUGAGGUCAGAAUGCCCAGGACUUACAACUUGA